CCUGGCUCAGAUUGAACGCUAGCGGCAGGCUUAAUACAUGCAAGUCGAGGGGCAGCACGGUUAGCAAUAACUGGUGGCGACCGGCGCACGGGUGCGUAACACGUAUACAAUCUACCUUAAACAGGGGGAUUAGCCUUUCGAAAGAGAGAUUAAUACCCCGUAAUAAAUUGAACGGCAUCGUUUGAUUUUGAAAGCUCCGGCGGUUUGAGAUGAGUAUGCGUCUGAUUAGCUAGUUGGUGAGGUAACGGCUCACCAAGGCGACGAUCAGUAGGGGACCUGAGAGGACUAACCCCCACACUGGUACUGAGACACGGACCAGACUCCUACGGGAGGCAGCAGUAAGGAAUAUUGGUCAAUGGAGGCAACUCUGAACCAGCCAUGCCGCGUGCAGGAUGACGGCCUAUGGGUUGUAAACUGCUUUUAUACAAGAGAAAACCCUGGUACGUGUACCAAGUUGAUAGUAUUGUAAGAAUAAGCAUCGGCUAACUUCGUG
rnacentral:rRNA from 1 species